rnacentral:misc_RNA from 1 species
UGGACUUUGAGACGGGCGGCACACCCCUUGUGCAACAGCGUCCCUUGCAUAUAUGCAUCCCUCCUGCCGUCCCCCGACGACCACCCCGGACCACUGCACACGUACGAGCUUCUAUUCCUUUCGUCAAGAAGCAAAAAAAAAACGUCAUCACUGCCUCAAGUCGCCUUCAUUUGCUGCUCUCUCAUAGUUGGGCGGCGUUGUGCGACGGAGUGUUUGGCGGCUGCUCGCCCUCUGAUUCCUGGGCAUGUGGCACCUUGACUGAGAGAGACCACGUGUUUCAGCAGCGCAACAGUGCCACGUCACUUCUUGCAUCAUGUACCACGACGCACCGGUCGAAGCAGCCGUGGUGGUGCACCGUCACCGACAGCGACGCACCGCUUCAACUCUCAAAGGAGACGGUGACGAAGGCGAGGCUGAGCGACAGAUCAUCGAAGGUUACCAGCUGCAUCGCGUCGCAGACUUCCUCUUGUCCGGGGCAACUCAUGGCGGAGAGGUGGUCACGGCGUCUGCCGUUGCCGUUCCCACCGCGGCGUCCGGCGGAGGGUUGGCGUCAUUGUCGUGCCAGCUGUGCUCCAGCACCGCCGCUGUGCCAUCGCGUCUUGGCCUUCCCUACAUGCGCGUUGCCCUGCAGUUUCCAGACGAACUUCUCGGCGACGCGGUGGCUGUGGUGCACUGCCUGAGCAACCUCGUCGCCACAGAUCAGCGGUACGUUGAGGCGAUGGAAUUCAAGAAGGUAGGAGGGGUGGUGAGGGACGAGUCGAAAUGCUGCAUUGCCGGUGGGGUCGCACCGCCCCAGCAAAGAGGACGUGCAGUGGCUGGGGCCGCCGCCGCCGCCGCGCACAGUCGCCCUGCAACGAUGGACAACCCGAAUUGCCCCACGAGCGCAAUGCGUUUGUUUGUCCUGGCCGACAACACCUUUGGCAGCUGCUGCCCCGAUGAGAUCACCGCCCAGCACUACACGGCUGACUGCAUUGUGCACUUUGGUGAAGCCUGCAUGAGUCGCUCAACCCGCCUGCCGGUCUUUUAUGUCCAGCCAGUGUUUCACUUCAGUGCACUUGCCACUGGCGCUGUGGCUGGCAGCGAUGCCGUAGAGACGCUGCUGGAUGCCGAGGGGCCUUAGUGCUGGAGGUGGUGCGGCAGGUCGCGUCGGCUAUUCGCCAUCGGCUUACCAACUGGUGGGCCGAGAAGGCGGAAGCGACCGGCGCUUCUGCAGGAGCACCCUGCCCGGUGCGUCCCCGCAUCGCCAUUGUUGGCACGUACCCGACGAAAGCCAUCGUGCAGGCGGCUGAGCGUCGCUGGAGCACCACUGAAGAUUCUAGUGUUCCAAUCAGCUGGCCGAUCUUCGAAGAGCGCUGCCUCUCUGUUGCAGCUGAGCUGGCCAAGUUGCACGGUGCGGAGGCCAGCGGCGUUGCCGAUGCAGGGUCCACUUCCUCGGGCGUGGACUGCUGGGUCGUUAACGGUGUGCGCUUUCCUCGCGUGCUUUCCUCGUCGUCGUCCGCGCCGUCGCACGAGGUACAGUACCUGCUCUUUAUCGGCGCUGUCGGCUCUUCGGCGCUGGUCCACGUGCUGACGGCAGAGCAGUACAACCAGUUCCACUACAGCGACCUCUGCCGCGAGUACCUUGCGUGGGACGGCGGUGCUGAGGUGAGCAACGUGCCCGUCGUCUGCGUUUUGGACAACUGCUUUGGUGACACGGCAGAGACGAAGGAGCAGCUGCACAAUGUCUCCAAGUGUCUUGCAGGGGCUGGGGCUUCUCUGUCUGGGUCUCUCGAGCUGACGGAUGCUGUGCACCAUUGGGUGUCAGCCGCGUGCGCCGACGGCGUCGCUGCGGCUCUUGUAACUGAAGAUGGCAUGCGAGCUCAGCAGACGCUGCAGCGUCGCAUGAGGCAGCGCGCCUUUAACAUCGAAUGCGUGCGGGCAAGCUCUGCCAUUGGCAUCCUCGUCGCCUCGCUGGCCAUCGAGGGCUACUACGAGGUGACGCAGCAGCUCCACCAGCUUCUUAGGGCCUACGGGAAGCGCAGCUACAUGAUCUAUGUCGGCCACUUGAACGAGUUCAAGCUGGCAAACUUUCUUGACGCAAUCGACUGCUUUGUCGCGGUGGCCUGCCCGCACAGCCGGCAGAGCCAUUUCACAGAGAAGAGGGAUGGCUUCAUGAAGCCAAUCGUGUCACCGGCCGAGGUGCUCGUCGCCUUGACGAGCGCCGACGACACGCAAGCAGACGAGCAGUACGGCAUGGCGGCCGUCUACACAACCUGCUUUCAGGCAGUGCUACCGCUGCUGAAAAGAGCCGUGCAGGCUCGCCGAAGCGAGCUCGAAUCCCGCGCAGGCGGCACGGACGCUGACACCCAACAAAGGCAGAAUGACGAAGAGGAACGAUGGACAUCCAGCGGCGCGCUGGUACGUGCCAGCACUGGAAGCGGCGGUGGCGCCUUGAUCGGACAGGGAAGCUCGCAGGGUGCUCUCGCCCGCCUGCACGACCGCGAGUACGUCGGUCUUGACCCUCGGGUGGGGCAGACGCCGGUUCAGGCCGGCAUCCUGGAGGGCAAGCACGGCAUUGCACGCGGCUAUGCAAAAGAGCGGGAGGGGCAGGGCGUGCUACCGUCAGGGACCCCAUGAUGCGGAGCUACCGUCUAAGGCUUUCUCUAAAGCACGAUUGACGCCAUCGCUCUCGCGCGUUUUUUUUUGGCAGAUUUGCUUUGCUAACUCAUAAC